GAUGAACGCUAGCGAUAGGCUUAACACAUGCAAGUCGAGGGGUAACAUGGGAGUAGCUUGCUACUUCUGAUGACGACCGGCGGAUGGGUGAGUAACGCGUAUGCAACUUGCCUCUUAGUGGGGAAUAACCCGGAGAAAUCCGGACUAAUACCGCAUACACUUAGUUAUCCGCAUGGAUGAUUAAGGAAAGAUUUGUUGCUAAGAGAUAGGCAUGCGUUCCAUUAGUUAGUUGGUGAGGUAGCGGCUUACCAAGGCGAUGAUAGGUAGCCGGCCUGAGAGGGUGGACGGCCAAAAGGGGACUGAGAUACGGCCCUU
rnacentral:rRNA from 1 species